AUUGAACGCUGGCGGCAGGCCUAACACAUGCAAGUCGAACGGUAACAGGAAGACUCUUGCUUCUUUGCUGACGAGUGGCGGACGGGUGAGUAAUGUCUGGGAAACUGCCUGAUGGAGGGGGAUAACUACUGGAAACGGUAGCUAAUACCGCAUAACGUCGCAAGACCAAAGAGGGGGACCUUCGGGCCUCUUGCCAUCGGAUGUGCCCAGAUGGGAUUAGCUAGUAGGUGGGGUAACGGCUCACCUAGGCGACGAUCCCUAGCUGGUCUGAGAGGAUGACCAGCCACACUGGAACUGAGACACGGUCCAGACUCCUACGGGAGGCAGCAGUGGGGAAUAUUGCACAAUGGGCGCAAGCCUGAUGCAGCCAUGCCGCGUGUAUGAAGAAGGCCUUCGGGUUGUAAAGUACUUUCAGCGGGGAGGAAGGGAGUAAAGUUAAUACCUUUGCUCAUUGACGUUACCCGCAGAAGAAGCACCGGCUAACUCCGUG
rnacentral:rRNA from 1 species